GACAGAGGGUGCAAACGUUGUUCGGAAUUACUGGGCGUAAAGCGCGUGUAGGCGGCCAACUAAGUCGGGCGUGAAAUCCCACGGCUCAACCGUGGAAGUGCACUCGAAACUGGAUGGCUAGAGUCCUGGAGAGGAAGGUGGAAUGCUUGGUGUAGAGGUGAAAUUCGUAGAUAUCAAGCGGAACACCGGUGGCGAAGGCGGCCUUCUGGACAGUGACUGACGCUGAGACGCGAAAGCGUGGGGAAGCAAACAGG
rnacentral:rRNA from 1 species